rnacentral:rRNA from 1 species
UACGUAGGGCGCAAGCGUUAUCCGGAAUUAUUGGGCGUAAAGAGCUCGUAGGCGGUUUGUCGCGUCUGCCGUGAAAGUCCGGGGCUCAACUCCGGAUCUGCGGUGGGUACGGGCAGACUGGAGUGCAGUAGGGGAGACCGGAAUUCCUGGUGUAGCGGUGAAAUGCGCAGAUAUCAGGAGGAACACCGAUGGCGAAGGCAGGUCUCUGGGCUGUAACUGACGCUGAGGAGCGAAAGCAUGGGGGAGCGAACAGG